rnacentral:rRNA from 1 species
UUGAAAGGGAAACGAUUUGAAGUCAGUCGUACCGGCGGGUAAUCAGCCUUUUGGGUGUGAUUAUGUGGAGCGUGAGGAGCUAAUCGCCUUCAUCUUUGCAUAUUCGUGCACUUUGGGUGUACUUGCUCGUGUGGUAGGUUAACAUCAAUUUUGAUCAUCAUAAAAUGAUUGAAGGAAUGUAGCUUCGAUCUCGUAUUGAAGUGUUAUAGCCUUCGGUAGGUGUGGUGAUCGAGAUUGAGGAUUGCAACGGAUACCUUUCGGGGCUACCUGUCUGAUCUCUGAUCGUUGCUUUGGUGCUGAAAGCGUGCUUAUAGUUAUCAAAGUCGAUGGUUAAUAGGUUAGAAUGGGUUAAAUUCGUUAAGGAUGUUGACGUA